ensembl:lncRNA
GAUGUAUUUGUGUGUUAGACUGUUUAUCUCCUGAGAGUGACCAAUAUACAUUGCAUGUGAGAGUUAGCAGGAAACUUAACCUGCUGCUUAUAUUUGCUGGUGAUUCAGGUGUUUCUAUUCAUACAACAUUAAGGAUGCUUUUUGCUAAAUUGUCUCUCCAAACUAAAUAAUGCUAGAGGAAUGAGCAACUUUCUUCUCCUAUUUUGAUGGUAGUAUAAUCAAAUACAUUAGUCCCUGAAUCAAUUGGUCAGACAUUUGAAAAGACUGCUUCAUUAGCAGUACAAGAGCUAUAAACAAUCAUGCAGAAAGGAUUUUCUUGCUGUACUUCGUAAGAAGUUUCUGCAUAUCUCUUUGGUUUCAUUAUGUAGAAUUGCAGAACCACUCAGGUCAGAAGAGAUCUCAGGAGGUCCCUAGUUCAAGUCUCUGCUCAAAUCAGAGUCAGCAUUAAAUUCAAACUGUGCUGUCCAGGGCUCUAAAGUGUCUGAGGACAGACCUUCCACAACCUCUCUGGAUUCUGAUAUUUUAUUAUGCUCAUGAUGAAACUCUUUUUUUAUUCCUCCCCCUUUAUCCAGUUGGAACAACUCGUUUAUGGCUGUUGUCUCUCAACUUUCCACUGUGCACCACCAUGAAUAGUGUGGCUCAGUAUCCUCCUUGUAGGUAGUGGGGGUCUGCCGGUAAGCCCCCAAAGAGCCUUAUCAAUCCAAGGCUGAACAAAUCCUGUUUUCUCCAACCCUGGAGAAAACAUCUUGAGGGCUCUCCAGUGGAUUCACUGAAGUUUACGACAAUCUUUCUUGUUAUAGCCCAGUAGGCUAUCAGCCUUUAUUUAUUCCAGAGUCCAGUGCUGACUCAUCUUCAGGCAAACAUCCACGAGGUCCCCUAGAUCCUUAUCCACAAAGCUCCUAACCACGCGCCUAGCAGUACCAAUGGAAAGGGUCAGUUCAUCCCAGGUACAGGACUUCACCUUUGUUGAAUUUUAUGAAGUUCCUCAUGCAAUAUGUAUUUAUAUAACAAUAGCGAAUUGUUUAAUUAAUUUGUGCUUUGUUGUACAAUGUGUCUUACAAUCUAUUGUCACAAAAAAACUCCGUAGAAAGGUAGAUCACGAAAAAGCUCAGGAAGUUAUUCAGUUCUUUCUAUCUCCUUGGUGCAGGAUUAUGAUGCUAUUGUAUGAUGAUGCUGAGACAUACCACACAUAUUUUUUUAAAAAAUUUCAUGCAUUAACUGUAAAAAGCUUUUACAAUACUGCAUAUUAAGUAUUAUCACUAUGAGGAAAGAGAAACAAUGUCUUAGUUGAUAAGAAGUUCACUUGCAAAUUAAGAGACUUGUACCUUUCCUGGGUCUAUUAUCUACCUCGAACAAGUAGAUAUUUCUUGCCUUUUUUUUUCCCCCCUGCCAAUAAAGUUGUUGGGGCAUGACAUUUCUCCCUCCAUCUCUAUUGAACUAUGACAUCUUCUUGCUUUAAAAACUUAGUAUUGAACCUUGAUUCUGAAUGUAAUAUUUAUGUUCUUCAGUGACUUACACGCUGGGAUAUAGGGUAACAGAGAAAAGUAAAUAAUGGCUCUAAUUGAGAUGAAAGAACACACCUUUAUGCAGGUCAUGGUUAUAUUGACAUUUAGAAAACCAAUAGAAAAAUCAGAAAUUUCUUUUUUUAAUUGACACUGUGGGACACUGUUUUAGGCAACAUUUGCAAAAGGUGGUUGCCACUGUGAAUAAAAACUUCAUUUCCUGUAGAGCCUGUGCUUUUAGGUCAUUCAUACUGAGUACCAUUUUAAGGCAGGUUCUACAAAUAACAGUUUUCCUCAAGUUUCCACUUGACCUCAGCAAUCAUUAGCA